GGCGCCAUCGUCUAGUGGUUAGGACAUCGGGUUUUCAUCCCGGCAACGGGGGUUCGAUUCCCCCUGGCGCUA
rnacentral:tRNA from 1 species